AUGAAAUCUCCCCGCCUCAUCUCUCCAUCUGUUCUCCCUAUUUAUUCCCUCAGGGACGUCACGAAUCUGUCAUUUGUGAUUUUGCAGCUUCUCGUAUCCGCAGUGCCAGUGGUGUACCCUCUGCAGGCUAUGAGGCACAACUCUCUAAGCAGGACUCUGGGGGGGCCCAUGAAGCUCACAGCACCUCCUUCCUCAGGACUGAGAACCGUGUCAUGGGGGCCAAGCCCGGCCGCCAGGUGCAGGUGGGAGCACAUGCACCCUUCCUGUACAAAACAGAGAUUUUCAGGCCCGCAGAGAGAUCAGGGGCUUCUGUUAAGUCAUCCCCCAACUUUCUGCUGUCCAGAGAUGUGGAAGUAUUUGUUCUCGAAAGGGGAGCGGGUUGGUGGGCUUGGGGCUGCCGUGACCAAAGACCCCAGACCGGGCAGCUUGGACAGCAGACAUUUACUUUCUCACAUGGCUCUGGAGGCUGGAGAUCCCACACCAAGGUGCCUGCAGGUUGGUGUCCUCUGAAACUUCUCUCCUUGGCUUGCAGAUGCCACCCCGAUGAUGCGUCUUCACAUGGUGUCCCUCUGCAGGGGUACUUGCUGGGGGCUCUGUGUGUGUCUCGUCUUUUCUUCUUAUGAGAACACCAGUCAGACUGGGUCGGGGACCACCCUUGGGGCCUCAUGGUAACUCAACACCUCUUUAAGGCCCUAUCUUUUUUGAAGAUUUUAUUUAUUUAUUUGAGAGAGAGAGAGCACAGGCAGGGGAGCUGUGGGAGCUGCAGAGGGAGAGGGAGGGAAGAACAGACUCCUUGCUGAGCAGGGAGUCCGAUGUGGAACUCGAUCCCAGGACCCUGAGAUCAUGACCUGAGCCAAAGUCAGACGCUUAACCGACUUUAAGCCACCCAGGCUCCCUAAGGCCCUAUCUUGACAUGGAGUCACAUUCUGGGGUACUGGGGCUUGGGACUUCAGCAUAUGCAUUUGGAGGGGACAGUUGAGCCCCUCACUGCGAGUGAAUGAGUAUGGAUGUAGACACCUGACUUUCUGCUCUAUGCCAGGCACUGAACUCACAGCUUCCCCUCGUUUUCCUCAUUUAUUGAAAAGGAUCCUGCAGCUCACCUGACAGAGAUCCCAGCUGGCCUUGUAUAAUGACCACUGUGACAUCCGUACGAGGCAUGAGGCUCCCCUUGAGAAUCUGGAAGUUUAGGACCUGGGCAUGAAAAGCAGAGCGGAAAAAGGGCCCCCAGCGCCUCUGUACUUGACACAGCUGCCUUGAAUACAGUAAUAAUGAUAAUAACAGAUAUUUGUUGAAUGCUUCCUGUGUUCUAAGUGCUUUAAAUGUAUUACCUAUUGGGGCGCCUGGGUGGCACAGCGGUUGAGCGUCUGCCUUCGGCUCAGGGCGUGAUCCCGGCGUUAUGGGAUCGAGCCCCACAUCGGGCUCCUCCGCUAUGAGCCUGCUUCUUCCUCUCCCACUCCCCCUGCUUGUGUUCCCUCUCUCACUGGCUGUCUCUAUCUCUGUCAAGUAAAUAAAUAAAAUCUUUA
rnacentral:lncRNA from 1 species